UACGUAGGUGACCAGCGUUGUCCGGAUUUACUGGGCGUAAAGAGCGCGCAGGCGGUCGUUCAAGUCGAGUGUGAAAGCCCCCGGCUCAACUGGGGAGGGUCAUUCGAUACUGAUCGACUUGAAGGCAGGAGAGGGAAGCGGAAUUCCCGGUGUAGUGGUGAAAUGCGUAGAUAUCUGGAGGAACACCGGUGGCGAAGGCGGCAUCCUGGACCAAUACUGACACUGAGGAGCGAAAGCCAGGGGAGCAAACGGGG
rnacentral:rRNA from 1 species